rnacentral:rRNA from 1 species
UACAGAGGUCUCAACCGUUGUUCGGAUUCAUUGGGCGUAAAGGGUGCGUAGGCGGCGGGGCAAGUCAGGUGUGAAAUCUCGGGGGCUCAACCCCGAAACUGCACUUGAUACUGCCUUGCUCGAGUACUGGAGAGGAGACUGGAAUUUACGGUGUAGCAGUGAAAUGCGUAGAUAUCGUAAGGAAGACCAGUGGCGAAGGCGAGUCUCUGGACAGUUACUGACGCUGAGGCACGAAGGCCAGGGGAGCAAACGGG